rnacentral:tRNA from 1 species
GCCCACAUAGCUCAGUCGGCAGAGCACACCCUUGGUAAGGGUGAGGUCACGAGUUCGAAUCUCGUUGUGGGCU